AUACAUACAUACAUAUUUUUUCAGAUUCUUUCCCCUUACAGGUUAUUACAAAAUAUUUAGUGGAGUUCCCUGCGCUACAUAGUAGGUCCUUGUUAGUUAUCUAUUUUAUAUAGAGGAGUGUGUAUAUGUUAAUCCACAUACAUUUUGCAGCAAAGAAACAGGGUCCUCACAAUGUUUAAAGGAAACCCAGAUAAUGACUCUGCCUCAGCAGUGUAUAUGUUUUAUAUAUAAUUUAUACCAUAAAUGUAUACCAUUUAUUUCAUAGUUUGCUUCUAAACUAGCCCCUUCAUUGCCAUUUCGAAAACCUACAGUUCAACAACCCAGAUCUUUAAAGGAAUAUAACAUGUGAUCCUUAUCAUGAAGCAUCCUCUUCAUAUCAACCCCAUCUAUGAUAAAAAGGGAAUGCACUGGAUAAAGAGACUUAGGAAAGUUACAAAUUCCCUGAGCAUCAAUUACAUCAUCUAUGAUUUGACCAGUUUGCCUUGCUUUUCUGAGUCCUUCUUCCUCUAAGUCUAGUUGCGUGGCUGGCUGGAAAAGCUGUUUAAUCCUUAUGAGCCUCAAUUUCAUUAUUUUUCAAUGAUGGAUACAUACUUUUGGAGAUCAAACAGGCUAAUAUAUUUAAUGUGGUUAGCACUGUUUUAGGUACAUCAUGAACACUCAUUAAAUACCUCACUAUUAUCCAUUUUCUAAAGGACUAUACAGGCUUCUUAUUACUGUUAUGACUCUAAAAUAAAGAAGGCUAAAAUGUCUUCUGGCCUUGAUAGUCUCUGAAGAUAACUAUAAAGCUUUCCAUUCUAUUAUUUAUUCUCUUCUGUCACGUCACCUUGUUUAAUUCCACUCAUUGUAUCUUCUUACUAAGAAGUUUGGUAUUCAAGCCUAACAGAUGUCCUUGUAAAAUACUAUCCUUUAUUAUGCCAAUAACUCAGAAAUGUAGGGCAAGUAAAUACAAGUGGUGUGUGAAAUGAAGCCCUCAGAGUUAAUUUGCUACUGACCAAACAGUCAAACAUUGUUAGUGUGAUUAUAACAGCUGUGAGGGGUCAGGCUACCUUUGCAGAGCAAUGCUUUUCUUCUCUCUUGCAGCAGAUACUGGGGGGAAGGAGGAGGGCAUUUUUUUUACUUUCAAAGGAGCCCACCAUUGCUAUGUAUACGUUCAUUUGGUUUAAUACAGUUGUUUCUCUUCUAGUCAUUAUUUAUAAGAUUAGCCAUGAUAGAACUGCAAAUAAUAAGAGCAUUCACUACACAUUAUUCACUACACAGUCACUCCAUUAUUCUUAAGGGCUUCCAGAGCCCUUAAGAAAUAUCAUGAAUCUGAUAUACAAACUUAUAAAUGGAUGGAAUCAAUAGACAGUGAAACCUCAAAAACUAAUUAGAAUUUAUGAUUUAUCGGACAUACGUUUGAGUGAAUUUGCUUUUGCUCUAUUUGUGCAAGGAGAAAACAAAUUUUGCUAAGUAAUUUAACAAGGUCAUUCACCUUUCUUAAAGAAUAUAUUGUUAUUAAGGUAUUUCAAUGGAUCCAAGAGGAAAGAGUAUGAUAAACAUCAACCUUGCUUUCAGUUCAUUAAAGCAGAAUCUGCAAAUCUUCCUUCACAUUAUUAUUAGUUUACAUUCUUUAUUAUUACAAGAUAACUUUUUAAAGAUCACUCAGAAUAUUUUUAUUGAGAACUUGCUAGUGUAGGGUAAAGAGCUGAACACUCCUGGGUACACUGUUAAAAGCUGAAGCUUACAGCUUGAGGAAAUUUGAGGAAGAACUUAUGCUUUCAUGUACAUAGACUGAAUUUCUUUCUCAUUAAAAUUACUUUGCUCAAUACCAAGAUGCCUGAAAUUCAAAUACUGCAUAAUUGAUCUUGUCAUUUUAUCCAAAUGUGUACACUUUACUACUUCAAUAACACCAAGAGAUUUUUAAGUAUAAAUGUAAGUAUUUCAUUUGCAGCUUAGAGCUAUAAUUUAUCCUAUUUAAGCUACGAGAUGUCAUGACACUGCAAGGGACACCAAAAUUUACAUCAUUGGGCUUUAAGUGACUAAACCCUAGUCUGGGAAAUGUACUAGAUUAUAUUAUCAUUUAUAAUUAAUUAUAAUAAGUAUAAUAUUUGGGUAUAACUCAACAUAUACCUGCUUAUAAUAGUAUGUAUACAUAUAAAUAUACACUGGUAAUUUUAAAAGUAGAAAUAGUUUUAUUUUGAUUUUAUAAUCUGGAUUAAAAAAAAACUGCUCUGCCUUCCUGAGUGCAUCACUCUGCAUCUAGGGCAGUGGUUCUCAAACUGGAGUUGGCAUCUGUUGGGCUGCACCCCACAGCCCUACAAAGCCUAUACCUGCCCAGCUUUAAGACUGAAGAAAGCACAGAGUCAGCAACAGAGACAUGGGUAGUUUAAAGGAUGGAGGGGCUUACACAUCUGAAGCUGAGUCCUGGAGUGACACCCACCACAGGUGGUGGAUGGCGGGGCAGGACACGGUGGCAGUCUUCACUCCCAGAUGGGAAGGGAAGGUCACCAGUUAUAAGGGGAACUGACAGCAGAUUGGCUUCUCAGUUAACAGGGAAACCAGCAGAGAGGUGCACUCCUCAUUGCUACCCCUUCUAAAAAUGUUUAAAAAGUCUUAUUGGAUUAUAGUUGACUUACAAUGUUGUGUUAGUUUCAAGUGUACAGAAAAAUGAGUCAGUUAUACAUAUGCAUGUGUCAAUUCUUUUUCAGAUUCUUUUCCUGUAUAGGUUAUUACAGAAUAUUGAGUAGAGUUCCCUGCGCUAUACAGUAGGUCCUUGUUAGUUACCUAUUUUAUAAACAGUAGUGUGUAUAUGUUAAUCCCAUUCUCCUAAUUUAUCCCCUCCUUCCCGCAGUUUCCCCUCUGAUGACCUUAAGUUUGAUUUCAUAAUCUGUGAGUUUGUUUCUGUUUCAUAAAUAAGUUAUUUUGCAUCAUUUUCAUUAGAUUUCACAUACAAGUGAUAUAAUAUCACUUGACUUUGACUGACUUCACUUAGUAUGAUAAUUUCUAAGUCCAUCCAUAUUGCUGCAAAUGGCACUAUAUUGUUCCUUUUUAUGGCUAAUAUUCGAAUGUAUAUAUAUGUUACAUCUUCUUUAUCCAUUCCUCUGUCAAUGGACAUUUAAGUUGCUUUCAUAUCUUGACUAUUAUAAAUAGUGCUGCAAUGGGAGUUCCUGUCGUGGCACAGUGGAAACGAAUCUGCCUAGGAGCCAUGAGGUCGCAAGUUCUAUCCCUGGCUUCACUCAGUGGGUUAAGGAUCUGUUGUUGCCAUGAGCUGUGGUGUGGGUCGCAGACACGGCUUGGAUCUGACAUUGCUGUGGCUGUGGUGUAGGCCGGAGGCUACAGCUCCAAUUAGACCCCUAGCCUGGGAAGCUCCAUAUG
rnacentral:lncRNA from 1 species